rnacentral:tRNA from 1 species
GACGGUAUAGCUCAGUGGCAGAGUGCAUGCUUAGCAUGCAUGAGGUCCUGGGUUCAAUCCCCAGUAUCUCCA